GAACCCCCACUCUUCCUCCUCUUCUUUUUGAUGCAGGUGUCCCCCCAGGGAUGCCUGAGGCCGUGCAGAUCCCGGUGCCCCUCAGUGACAGCGAGGACCUGACCUACGCCGAGAUGCAAGCUGCCAUCUCGUGCUCCCAGCUCUCCACUUCCCACACUUCCCCUCAGUCCCCUGUUAUCUACACCAGAGCGAGGAAUGGGUUACCAUGCUGAUGGAUUCACCCA